CGGGUGAGUAUCACGUGAGUAACCUGCCCCCUGCUCCUGGAUAACUGCUUGAAAGGGCGGCUAAUACGGGGUGUGCCGGCUGGUCCGCAUGGGCCUGGUCGGGAUAGUUUCAUCUUCGGGUGUUUCGGUGGGGGAUGGGCUCGCGGCCUACCAGCUUGUUGGUGGGGUGAUGGCCCACCAAGGCGGUGACGGGUAGCCGGCCUGAGAGGGUGGGCGGCCACACUGGGACUGAGACACGGCCCAG
rnacentral:rRNA from 1 species